GAUGAACGCUGGCGGCGUGCCUAAUACAUGCCAGUCGAGCGAACGGACGAGAAGCUUGCUUCUCUGAUGUUAGCGGCGGACGGGUGAGUAACACGUGGAUAACCUACCUAUAAGACCGGGAUAACUUCGGGAAACCGGAGCUAAUACCGGAUAAUAUUUUGAACCGCAUGGUUCAAAAAUGAAAGACGGUCUUGCUGUCACUUAUAGAUGGAUCCGCGCUGCAUUGGCUAGUUGGUAAGGUAACGGCUUACCAAGGCAACGAUGCAUAGCCGACCUGAGAGGGUGAUCGGCCACACUGGAACUGAGACACGGUCCAGACUCCUACGGGAGGCAGCAGUAGGGAAUCUUCCGCAAUGGGCGAAAGCCUGACGGAGCAACGCCGCGUGAGUGAUAAAGGUCUUCGGAUCGUAAAACUCUGUUAUUAGGGAAGAACAUAUGUGUAAGUAACUGUGCACAUCUUGACGGUACCUAAUCAGAAAGCCACGGCUAACUACGUG
rnacentral:rRNA from 1 species